CCAAAAAAAAAAAAAGAGAGAAAAAGGUCGUUCUUUUACGACCCUUAAAGGGUCCUGCGACGGCGACGGCGACGGCGGCAGCGGUGGUGGAGGAAGUGAGAAACCCUAGUCCUGUUUAUGCUGUGUGUUCUAUGUACUAAUUGUGAUGUCUUUGCGUGUUACAAGAAAGAGAGGCUCAUUUCCUCCUCGUUCUCCGUGUUGCUUCCCCUGCUGGAGAAAAUGAGCGCAUCCUUCUCGUCUAAAUUGUCUGCAGUGCUGUCACCUCCUCCACCGCCAUUGCAGCAACUACGAUGGCAGAUGAUCUUUAGCAGCAAAGAACAUUCAUACAGAUGAGGGCAAAACCUCAAAAGUGGUGGACAACUCCGGUGCAAAGCGUAUAAUGCGCAUGCAAGCAUUGAAAGGAAGGAGGGGAGCACAACCGGGUGACACCAUUAUCACAUCAGUGAAGGAAGCACAACCCCGUGGCAAAGUAAAGAAAGGGUGAUGUGGCGGAUGGUGUGGUGGUGCGUGCUGCGAUGGCAGUGAGAUCAAGUUUGAUGAUAAUGCAGUGGUACUCAGUCAACAAGCAGGGAGAACCAGUUGGGCCAGUGCCUCGCGAGGUUUAGGAGGAAGAAGCAUGUCGAGCUUCGUACUUUGGCCAAGCACAUAGCUUGACUACCCGACAUCCAUGGGAUGAUCUUUUAGGGUUUGCUGGCUGGGUGAAGUCCGUCUUCAUGAUAUAUCUUUCCAUUGGAUUGAAGAGCGGUAGUUGUGGAUGCAAAUAUCGUGUUGGGAUAAUAAUACCUUCAGUCAAAUUAUAUGAUUUGCUCAUGAAUAAAAA